CACGUAGGGCGCAAGCGUUGUCCGGAAUUAUUGGGCGUAAAGAGCUCGUAGGCGGUCCGUUGCGUCUGCUGUGAAAACUCGGGGCUUAACCCCGAGCCUGCAGUGGAUACGGGCAGACUAGAGGUAGGUAGGGGAGAAUGGAAUUCCCGGUGUAGCGGUGAAAUGCGCAGAUAUCGGGAGGAACACCGGUGGCGAAGGCGGUUCUCUGGGCCUUACCUGACGCUGAGGAGCGAAAGCGUGGGGAGCGAACAGG
rnacentral:rRNA from 1 species